GAUCAUGGCUCAGGAUGAACGCUGGCGGCGUGCUUAACACAUGCAAGUCGAACGGAGUUUACAUGUGAGCGAGGGUGCUUGCAUCUAACAAUCUUUUGUAAACUUAGUGGCGGACGGGUGAGUAACGCGUGGGUAACCUGCCUCAUACAGGGGGAUAACAGUUAGAAAUGACUGCUAAUACCGCAUAAGCGCACAGUAUCGCAUGAUACCGUGUGAAAAACUCCGGUGGUAUGAGAUGGACCCGCGUCUGAUUAGCUAGAUGCGGGGUAACGGCCCACCAUGGCGACGAUCAGUAGCCGGUCUGAGAGGAUGAACGGCCACAUUGGGACUGAGAUACGGCCCAGACUCCUACGGGAGGCAGCAGUGGGGAAUAUUGGGCAAUGGGGGAAACCCUGACCCAGCAACGCCGCGUGAAGGAAGAAGGCCUUCGGGUUGUAAACUUCUUUACCAGGGACGAAGAACGUGACGGUACCUGGAGAAAAAGCAACGGCUAACUACGUG
rnacentral:rRNA from 1 species